GACGAACGCUGGCGGCGUGCUUAACACAUGCAAGUCGAACGGAAAGGCCCUGCUUUUGUGGGGUGCUCGAGUGGCGAACGGGUGAGUAACACGUGAGUAACCUGCCCUUGACUUUGGGAUAACUUCAGGAAACUGGGGCUAAUACCGGAUAGGAGCUCCUGCUGCAUGGUGGGGGUUGGAAAGUUUCGGCGGUUGGGGAUGGACUCGCGGCUUAUCAGCUUGUUGGUGGGGUAGUGGCUUACCAAGGCUUUGACGGGUAGCCGGCCUGAGAGGGUGACCGGCCACAAUGGUACUGAGAUACGGAGCAGAGUGGUAUGGGAGACAGCGGUGGGGAGUCUUGCACAGUGGGAGGGAGUGUGAUGCGGCAACGCCGCGUUCGUGAUGACGGUCUUCGGGGUGUGAACCGCUUUAGCCUGUGACGAAGCGUGAGUGACGGUAAUGGGUGAAGAAGCACCGGCUAACUACGUG
rnacentral:rRNA from 1 species